AAUUCCUGUGAUGAACAUUUAAUAAAAAUGAAAGUAGUGGCCUGAUUUUCGUUGAUGAUGAUCUUGUUCUGAGGGAUU